rfam:Oryza barthii chromosome 2, whole genome shotgun sequence.
AAAAAAAAAAACCCUGAUUUCUGUGGCUGACGUCUGACCGUCCGUCUUAUUUUAAAAAUAUAUAAAAAAAAAUUAAAAAGACAAGUCACGUACAAAGUAUUAAUCAUAUUUUAUCAUCUAACAAUAAUAAAAAUACGAAUUAUAAAAAAAUUUUAUAUAAAACGGACAAUCAAAGUUGGACACGGAAACACAUGGUUUAUCUUUUU